UAGCAGAUCUCCCCCUCUCUCCAAUUUGAUGCGCAACCCUAUCCUACACACACUCACGAUUCCCUGAACCAGGGGAUGAGAAAGAACGAAAAUGGAAAGGUAGGGGGAAAGGGGAAGGAGGUCACUGCCCAAUCCACGCCGCCAUACCCUUUUCCUUAGCUUCAGUAAAUCAGAAAGAAAGAAAGAGAGAACGGGAGGAGAGAAAUGGGAGAUCAGAGAAGUGGAGAGGGGAAGAGGAAAGACGACGCCGGCAAGCAUCACUGCCGCCGCGCCGUCGUGUUGCUGCCGAGUGAGAGGAAGCCGCGGACCACAGUCAUGGGCAGAAGAAAGAGCGCGAGCCAGGGCACGCGAGACGGAGCCGCCAUUGCUGGGUCACCGUCCAGCCUCGCCCCAUCGUCCAUCCUUGUCCCACCGCGUCUCGUGAUCACCGCCGUCGCGCCUGGUCACCCUUCGAGCUCGCCAUCGACGGCGUUGCGUCUCUGUCAUGCGAGGGGAGCGCGACCCACCACGUGGAGCUGCGCCGCCGUGCAUCUCCGCUGCCGUCACAAACCAUCCAAGCCUCUUCGCCAUGGUCGCCGCCGUGGGUUUUGGCUGCUGGUGAGGAGAGGGGAGCAGUCACCACCGCAGAAGGAGUUUCGCACGUCACUGUGAGCUGCGAAUCACUGACCGAGAAGAAGCUCCAUCCUCGUUACCGCACUGGAGUGGUUGCAGCCAGCACCGUACAACGCCAUCGCCGCUGCCGGCGAAGGAAGCUUGCCGUCACAAUUCAGUCGCCAUCGAGCCUGAAGGGAAACACCAUUGAUACCACCUGACAGCAGCUCCCCUGUGUUCCCAAACUCCAUUCUUGGAACAUUGUUGCUGGUUUAUCAUUCGAAAAUGGCAUAAUUGAUGCUGAGGCCAUUGUUGUUCUUGCUCCUUGAGAUCUGAUGCCACAAUUGCUGCCAUGUCAAUUCGGAGUUUCAGUUGCUUCGUUUUGUUAAUUCGAGUUGUUAUGGUUGCUGAGGAAACGGUUUGGAGCUGAGGUUACGGCUGCCACAAUUGUGGGCUAAGAGGAAACAAGUUGUGAUGAGUCUUAGAGUUUUCGGGUUUCGACAUUUGAGGAUUGGGCGCAGAAGUUACGAAGAAUUUAUUUAGUUAUUGUUGUGAUGUUCUGUAUUGCUUUGGAUUAUUAAUUAUUGUACCCUCGCCUUUAUCUUGAUAUAUUCUAUAAGAGGGAUAGGAAUUGUAUUGGUUAAUGUCUGUAAUAUUAUUUAUACAUAUAUGUAUGUAUAUAUAUGGAUGUACUCUUUAUGAGUUUUUGUAAGUUGUAUGGUUUCUAUGGAUGUACGUUAUCGAACGAAAGCAUUUUUUUGGGAACGGUAUUUGCGGUUUAAAGUUUUAAACAGGCUCAUAUUUUAGUAUUAAUUAGUAUAAGUGUCGUCGUAAUGUCCGAGCUAUCAGAGUUGCGCAGCCGAAGGCGUGAGCUUUGGUAGUUAGGGUAUUACAGUAAAGCUAUACCAAUAUACACAUUGUCAUGUUUUAAACUGUCAGACAGCUUGCUAAAUGAAAUUCAUAAGAUUCUAAUCUAGUUCUGGUGGAGGCAGCAAAGUUCUCAAAGGCGAAUUGUGUGGAUUAGUUGGGAUAAGAUGACUUGGCCUAAAAAAAAGCGGACUUGGUUUCAAAGAUCUCAGGGCUCAAAACCUGGCACUUUUGGGUAAACAGUGUUGAAAAAGCGUGACUCAACCUAACUCUUUUCUUUCUAGAAUACUUAAAGAUAACUCCUUUAGAUUUAUUUCUAUCCUUACAGCAGAAGUAGGAAACUUACCUUCUUGGGGUUGACAAAGUAUUCUUAAAGGGAGACAAGUUGUAGAGAAAGGCAUUAGUUGAAAAGUAAG